rnacentral:lncRNA from 1 species
UGCCAAACGGGCUGUAAAAGUAGCCAUUGACCUAAAUCAACCACCUUUAAAAAUACUAGUGAGAGAGAGAGAGAGUCACCGUUACUCUUCCGUCGCCAGAAUCGUAAACACGCCGACGAUAUCCCUAAUGUAUUGGUUUCUUACCAUUUCUUGGCUUUGAUAUUCCUCUGUGCGUAUCGGUUUUGUUAAAGUUUAUUCUCCUAAUUAGAAACAUCCUUUUCUGGUGGUCAAUCUUUUUUAUUAGAGAGAGACAGAAGUGAGUAGAGAAAGAAGCUAGGGUUUACAGGAAUUGUGAGGUUCGGAUUUGUAUUGGCUACGAUGGACGAAAUCGGUGCUCGACGAUAUAAUUCGGCGGCUUCUUGAUGCGAAGAAGGGCGUUUUCCGAAGCAGGUGCAUCUGACGGAAGGCGGAGAUUCGGAAU